GCAGAAGAAGAAGAAGAAGAAGAGGCACAAAACGAGACUUUCACACGCAGGUUCCCUUCGAAUGGUGAUCGAUGCACCAGCUAGAGGAAAACAACGAAAAUAUACCGACUCAGGCCCAAAACUGAUCCUGCUGAGAUGGAUUUGGCUCCGACAUCAUGCAGUCCCAGCUAUGCAAAUGACUGCAGAUCAGCAGACUUCACAUCACCAGGCCUGGACAUCCAGCAGCUGACUGGUCGUCAAGGAGACCAUCCCCCUCAGCCACAGGGUGGGAGCUCCACUUGGGAGCAGGAGGAGCCACAGCCCCCUCUUAUUAAAGAGGAAGAAAUGCAGCCGGAGCACCCCCACAUUAAAGAGGAAGAGGAGGAGCCACAGCCCCCCGAUGUUAAAGAGGAAGAGGAAGAACUCUCGAUCACUCAGGAGGGAGAGCAUCUUCAAAGGCCAGAGGAGGCUGAUCUCGCCAGGUUGCCACUGACUGGUGUCCCUGCAGUGACUAAAGACCAUGAAGACAAACCACCUGAGCUCUCCCAGCUUCAUCAUAGUCCAAGUGAGGAGAUGAGAGAGGCGGAGCCAUGCAGCAGCUCACUGCAACACAUGACAACAGAAGCUGAUGGAGACCACUGUGGAGGAUCACAAGCAGACAACCUCUUCGCUCCACUGUCAGAUAGUGACGACACAACGUCACACUCUCCUGAAGGUGAAGACAGCGACUACAACCAAGAAUCUCUGAGCAGCGAUACAGACUGUGAAGGUGAUAUGAUGAUGACUGGCACCGGCAACAAACACUCUAAAAGCUCUAAAAAGACAACAGGACUCAUCAAGGAUCCACACAAUAAGACGGCUGAAUGCACCAACCUCGACAAUGUCCCCACAACUUGGGGUUAUGCCGACAAUGAAUCGACCUACGUGCCCGUUUAUCGGCACGACGACGUAACCCCGUCUGAAGACGUUGGAAGGGCGACAAGAUUCACUGCAAACAUCAUCACCCUCUUCCAAACCUUACUGAACAAAUGUUUGAAUCAGGUAGCGUGGGAAAUAGCACGAUCUGAAUGCAACGGCUGCAUCAUAGAACAUCCAAGCCAGUUGCAGCAUUCAUGUCUCCAUGAACGAGGAAGUGUCUUUUACAUCAACCACUACAGCAGGGUAGUUGACAGCGUUUUCCGUCCUUCCCUGACAACCGCACUUCAGCAGCUGUCAUGUGUAGAACCAGGAUGCCUUGUUAGAAGUACAGAGAGACUUCUUGGUGCUGCCGAAGCAAUAAUACACCACCUGAUGGAGAAAGCAUGCUUUGGUCGCAUUCAGGACGACGAUGAGGAGCAAGGAAACGAGGCCUCACGUAGAAAAAUAUCCAUGGCUUUCUUGACAUGGUUACACUAAAAACCAUGUGUCUUUUGUUUUUAUUCACUUUUAUAUGUUUUUAUACAAAAAUGUACAUUUUUAUAUGUAGGAUUACCUCACUUAUGUACUUCAAAUGACAAAUUUAAUCUUUUGUUUUAUCCUGUCACGGUUAGGUACUGCAAUGGGGGGGCGCUAGCGCUCCAACGGCCUAUUUCCCGCCCCGCUUCCUGCUCAGCUUCCUGCUAAUUGUCCAGUUUUUCCGAGACUGCGUACACGCAUGGGUUCUGAUCUGACCAGUAGAAGAAGAGCGGUAAUUGGAAAUGGCUUUCUCAUGUCACUUCGCCUACGGCGCCACCUGGUGUUGAAAUGCCGUCAUUACAAGUCAACAUGAAAUGAAUGCAAUCAUUCACACCAGAGGUCAGCAACGUUUUUCCUUGUGAGAGCUACUUUUACAAAAUGAAAAUGGCCAAGAGCUACUCAUUUUUGUAACAUUUAUUUUCAGAGCUUAUUUUAAACCCAAACAAAGCGAAUAUGCUUGUUUCACCAGAACAUGAACAAAAUGCUGGUGUCCACAACUCACAUUUUGUAUUUCACAAUGCAUUUCUUUCUAGUGUUCUUUCAUUAUUAACUGAAAACCUGAAUGAAAAGCAGGCUUGCGGGCACCUCAUGUGGUCGUGGGGCGCUACCUGGUGCCCGCGGGCACCACAUUGGUGACCCCUGAUUCACAUCAAAUCUCCAGACUAUUAGUAGGAUAAAGAAAGCAGCUAACAAUGACUCUGUUAUGGGGGCCAGAACAUCCAGGAGCGGAGGGGAAGGAGUUGGCACGUACAUAUGCCAAGACAGCACAAGUAGGGCUGAAUAUUCAGUAGAGUCAAGCUGAAAUGAAGCCACUUGGGAAAGAAAGGCUUAUGAAGACGUGGCAGGAGGAACGGGACAGAGAACCAAAAGGUAGGCAUUGGGGUAAUAUUCCAAAAAGAGUGGCCCAAGUAAGAAGGACCAGCAGAAAUAGGAAAACCAGUAUUUACAACACAAACCAUGGCUUUGCAUGUCCUACAUCAGGGGUGUCCAAAGUGCGGCCCGCACCACAGUCUAAAAAUGUCAUUUAACAAGGAAACUUCAUAAAAAAACAGCAGCAAAAAUGGGAAAAUCAAUCAAAAGUCCAAAUAUGAAGAGAAGAGUUGUAAUCCAGCAAGGAAAAAAACAUCAUUUCACAAGAAUAAAGUCAUAGUAGGAGGAAAAAUGUCAUUUUAGUAGCAGGAAGUUGAAAUAUUCAAGAAAAAACAACGAACAAUGAAAGUUGUCAUAUUUGGAAAUUUAGGAUGGGGGAAAAUGUACAACAUGGCAAUAAAGUCCAAAUAUCAAGAGAAGAAAUAUACAAGAAGAAAGUUGAACUGUUUGGAAAAUUAUUUUUAAAAAUCAACAGCAGAAAUUUUACCAGAGUAAAGUCAAAAUAUUAAGAGAAAAAAAUAGUUUUCUAAUGAGAAAAAAGUUGCAAUUUUAUGAGAAAUAACUUUUCCUAAGAUGAGGAAAAAUAUCAUUUUAGUAACAACGUUGAAAUAAAGAAAACAUACAUUGUUUAAAAGAUAAAACAUAUUAUGGGAAUAAAGUAAGAAUUACAAGAAGAACAUUUACAAGAGGAAAGCCGAAAUUAAAUAGUAGUUGGAAAAUUAAAAAAAACACUAGAAAUGUAAAAAGUGCUGUAAUUCUACGGGAAUAAAGUCAAAAUAUUAAGAAAUGGAGUGAAGAACAAAAGUGUUAAUUUUCCAAGAAUAAACUGGUGUUAUUUUGGAAAAAAGGUGAUUUUUAGUCGCAUUUCUCCUACCAUCCAUCCAUUUUCUAUACCGCUUCUUCCUCUUUAGGGUUGCGGGGGCAUGCUGGAGCUGACUUUGGGCGACAGCCGGGCACAUAUAGACAAACAACACUCACACACCUAUGGGCAAUUUAGAGUCUCCAAUUAACCUAACAUGCACGUUUUUGGAAUGUGGGAGGAAACUGGAAUACCCGGAGAAAACCCACACACACACACAGAGAGAACAUGCAAACUCCACACAGAAAUGCCCAAGGGAGAAUCGAACCGUCUUCCCGAUCUCCAGGCUGUUACUGUGUUGGCCAACAUGCUAACCACUAGACCACCGUGCAGCCCCAUUUCUCCUCCAUUCCAGAUAUGUUCCAAAGGUGAAAUGCAGGUGCUACAUGUACUGUAGCUUCCUAGCAUAUCUACAUGUGUUGUUUACUAAAUAUCAAAGUAGCACAGUUGCAUCCUUUCAUUUUUCACUAUGUGGCCCUCGCUGGAAAAGGUUUGGACACCCCUGUACUACAUAGACCAGCUAGCGGGCUAACGUUAGCGGCUAACAAUAGCACAUUCAUUGAGAACAGCAUCGUAUUUAAACACCUUCAAGAUGAUUCAUUUACAUUAGAGAGGAGUACAAUAGCGUCUUCUGAGAGUUACAGCAGCAACUUGCUCUUCGGCUUGGUGACGUCUUGGUGUGCACCAAUCAUUAACGUCUUACAGAAACACAUACACUGGCAAACAUUGGUUCCUCAUUAGGAUCGAUCACUGAACGCUAUACUACUGGAAGGGGCGUCCCUGCUGACCGCAUGAAGCCAUUGGUCGGCCAUCUUGCUUCACCCAAAAAAGUACACACGCAUACACAUACAUGUAUCUUCAUUCACUACAUUUAUUAUGGUUCGGUAUAAAAAUUAACACGAAUUAACAAAAAAUUCCAUUGAAACAGAGUAAAUUUACUAGACCCAAAUCUCAAAAUGUCCCUCCAGUUUAAAGUUUUUCCUACCUCUAUGGUGUGAAAUUACAAUGCAUAAUAAGUUAAUUUCAGUGUUGACAAGGUAUUUGUUAUGAUAGGGAUCUACGUAGUAUCAAAGUUAAAUGCUAGCAUACCUUUAGAACAGGGGUCGGGAACCUUUUUGGCUAAGAGAGCCAUGAAAGCCACAUAUUUUAAAAUGUAUUUCCGUGAGAGCCAUAUCAUAUUUUUUAACACCGAAUACAACCAAAUGUGUGUAUACAGUAUUUAAGGAAUACUAGCAAUUUUAGAAUAUCAGUCUCUGAAUGUAUUCUUUGUAAUAAUGUUGUUAUAUUGAAGCUAACCAAUAAUAAAUAACUUUUUACCAUUAAUGCAACUUCUGGUGCUGCAUGGUUUUGUGACCUACUCCGUAUCUUUCUUUCUUUUCCUUUUUCAUCAAAAGGGUUGUCUCUUCACAAUUAGCUAGCUGACUAUUUGAUUAAAGAAGGUUUGAUUAAAGGAGGGACAACCCCAAUAAUAAUCAAGUUUUGGUGUCUGACACGGAAAACAUGGGAAGGACAGCUGGCAUUGCGCUAGAAAAAAAAAUGGAUGGGUUAAAAUGCAUUACAAUGCAUAUUUUGAAUUUUGUAAUGUUUCUGUUUCUGUAAUGUUUUACUUUAAAAUGUCAGGAAAACAAAUUAAAAUAAACACAUUUUAUGGUGUUAAGAAAUGUCUGAGAGCCAGAUGCAGUCAUCAAAAGAGCCACAACUGGCUCCCGAGCCAUAGGUUCCCUACCCCUGCUUUAGAAGAUGAUCAAGAAAGUCAAAUAUUGUUGGAACUGCAUUUUGUCGUAAUCUAACAGUGUGGCCGGUACUGUCGAAGUUCUCCUCAGUGAAAUGACUUGACCGGAGUUGCGAUCUGGCUGCAGGAAUCCACCUGUCUCUCCGCAUAUUUACUACCCAUUGCUUUAGAAGUUGAGCACUGCAGUGUGGAAAUCUAAAGGAGAAUAAGGGCUCAUUUACAACUACAGUCAAACUUGUCUAUAGCGGCCACUAGAGGGAGUUUGCAAAAGUGGCCGCUAUAGACAGGUGGCCUCUAUAGACAGGUUGGCGUCCAGUUUGAAUGUUGACCAGUAGAGGAAAAAAAUAAUAAUGUUGACCAGUAGAUGGCACUGCGGACUGCUGAUAAAAGUUGUACAGCACUACUAGACUUGUUAUUAUCAUGGUUCAUGGUUUUAAUUCAUCCUGAACAUGCAUAUGAGUCAAACAGUAGCACAUCACAUAGUACAAUUCACAAUUUUGCAUGUCCAAAAAGGAGUAGGAAGAAGCAAAGCUUAUUUAAUCCUACCCCUCAUCAGUUUCACAUCAGUUGCAAUACAUUUAUUCACCUCUUGUUCUUCCAAGUGUACUUUGUAGGUCUACAUGACAAUGUAGUGCAGUCAUAGCCAAGGUUUUUACUUACUAAAAGGAAGCUAGAUGCUUAAUAAUAACUGAUAACUGAUAAAAUACUUCAAUUAAGUACAACCGAACUCAGUUUUACUCCCGCUGCCACAUGCAUGCUAGCAUAUGUUUUUUUUUUUUUUUAUUGUAGCGUCGCUGGGAGCACAUCCUGUUCCCAGCAUACUUUGCGGUAAUGUUUUGGUGCAAAUGCUCUGAAAGUUACAUGUUUGACCAGGAAAUAGCAAACUCAAAAGAAGACGGCUUUUUUAUGUGGAACAACUGACAGUUUGUGUGGAUCUUGUGAAUGAUUGUGACUGAGUUAGGACUCACUAAUUAAAGUCUACACACGACGGCUUCAUUGAUUGAAAAACGAAACUUUUUUGUGCAUGAAGCUUCUACUUGGGUAAUCUGGCUGCUAUAUGCAGUCAGAUAUUGACCAAGGGAGACAAAAUGGGUGGCUGCUGGCUGCGUUGGACAGGUGACUGCGAUAGACAGGGUCUAUAACAUGUAAAUUUGCUAGGGGGGAUUUUUCAGUGGCUGCUAUAGGCAGGUAGCCCUUCUAUAAAGGUGGCCGCUAAGACAGGUUUGACUGUACUUAGAUGAAAAGAUGCUUACAGAUUUAAAGUAUCUAUUUUAUUAACUAUUUUUAUUAUUGAUAAGCAUUUACCUACCUGUGAAAUGUAAGUCCCUUCUCGCGAUUUUCACGAGUAUCACGAUUUGUGCAAUUAUUAGCAGCACAAGACGCCAUCUCGAACUCCUGUUAGUUGUGAGGCUUUCUUGUUUUGGGUGAAACAACAUGGCGACUUUUAUACUUCCGGUGGCUUCAGGCCUCCAAUGCGCAGCAAGCGAACGGGGCCAUUCCAGUUAUAGAGUUCAGUGGGAUUGAUCUACGUAUCAAUGUAAACAAGUCCUGCAAAUACAGUAAUAUUGUAAAUGUCAGCAUUUACCCACAUUUACAUACCCCAUUUUACCCACAGGCCAUCAGGUUUCUCAACGAAGCACUCACACACGCCACACACAACACAAGCACACACUCAUAGCACUUUAUUUGUUUGUAUUAUUUAUUUGUAUUAAUGUCUCUUCUGUUUUGUUGCUUAAUUUAUUGGUAUUUAUG